AGGGCACAGGCAUUAGGAGAGUCGGUGGCUUGGCCCCUAUUGUAUGGGUAAAGAGUAAAUAACUGAUGUAGGGUUACGCAGCUGCUACCAAUUAAAAAAGACUUAUGGUCUGUCUUCUUCCAAAGCCAUACUUCUGCAAGAAGAAUCGGCUGCUAGCUUUCUCAUAAUUUGGGGAGCCUCAUCUACUCAUUUCCAAUCUCAGAUCCUCAGAUCCCCUUGGCUGCAGUUCAUAAGGGCUGUGGGAGGGAGGCAACUGGACGAAGUCAGCGUCACAAGGGUGCUCAAACGCUAGUUUUUUCUCACAUGAUGUGUGUGGUAAUAAUGGCUCUGUUUCCAGACCAGCAACAGACGCAUCCACCCAUGCCAAUCACAUAGACUUUACAUUGCAAGAAGAAGCCGUAAGCUCGGACAUAAGCUUGGGUUCCUUCAACAUGAGAGAAGCAAGAGUCUCACCUUAUUUGUCUUCGCCAGGUUUACAAACAGCGGACACAGUUUCUGACCAUAUGCAUCAUUCCUGAUCACAGGCAUGUGGAAGGCAAUCAUAGCCAUAAAAUUUGGAAGAAUACCCCUGCAA